rnacentral:rRNA from 1 species
GACAGAGGGUGCAAGCGUUGUUCGGAAUUAUUGGGCGUAAAGGGUGCGUAGGCGGUUUUAUAAGUUAGAUGUGAAAGCCCAGGGCUCAACCUUGGAAGUGCAUCUAAGACUGUAGAACUAGAGUUUCGGAGAGGGUAGUGGAAUUCCCAGUGUAGAAGUGAAAUUCGUAGAUAUUGGGAGGAACAUCAGUGGCGAAGGCGACUGCCUGGCUAUAAACUGACGCUGAGGCACGAAAGCGUGGGGAUCAAACAGGAUUAGAUACCCCGGUAGU